rnacentral:rRNA from 1 species
GACGAACGCUGGCGGCGUGCUUAACACAUGCAAGUCGAACGGUAAGGCCCUUCGGGGUACACGAGUGGCGAACGGGUGAGUAACACGUGGGUGAUCUGCCCUGCACUUCGGGAUAAGCCUGGGCAACUGGGUCUCAUACCGGAUAGGACCACUGCCUGCAUGGGUGGUGGUGGAAAGCUUUUGCGGUGUGGGAUGGGCCCGCGGCCUAUCAGCUUGUUGGUGGGGUGAUGGCCUACCAAGGCGACGACGGGUAGCCGGCCUGAGAGGGUGACCGGCCACACUGGGACUGAGAUACGGCCCAGACUCCUACGGGAGGCAGCAGUGGGGAAUAUUGCACAAUGGGCGCAAGCCUGAUGCAGCGACGCCGCGUGAGGGAUGACGGCCUUCGGGUUGUAAACCUCUUUCAGUACCGACGAAGCGCAAGUGACGGUAGGUGCAGAAGAAGGACCGGCCAACUACGUGCCAGCCGCCGCAGUAA